AAUAAUUAUUUAAAUAUAAAUAAAUUUUGAAAAACCUAAAAAAUGAUUCACAUUCAAAGAUAAGUGUUUAAACACUAACAAGAAUAUAUGUAGGGCUUCAUUUAUUUGUUCUUCACGUGAUUUUUUAAGCCACCUACCGCUUGCAACCGCCAUCACUUGUUGCGGAAAAGAGAUUUUCAAAUGUAACGAUUUAAAACGGUUAAGAGUGGUAUAAAAAGGAAUCAACCACAAGUGUCCGCAAACGCUAAGUUUGAUGGUUGUUGCGAGAGAACCAAUAAAGCCCUUAAUUAGGGUGUGUCGGUUCAUUUUUUCCUUAUAGAGACAUAAAGCAGUUUUAUGGAAAAAUGGUCCAUUUCCUAAUGAGAAAUAUCACAUCAUAACAGAUAGAGCCCAAAAUUUAACCCCGGUCCUAAUAUCCUUGAAAUGGAAGUUCUACUCCUAUUUCCCCCGAAUUGAAAGUUCAAUACCUAAAUGUCCCCGAGUCUGGGUUUCGUCGGUUUGGUGCAUAUAUAUGAGACCAAACUAUAUAUUGGUCGUAACUUAACCAGUAGAAACCCGAUUCCUUAUUAAAACUCGACCCAAUAUGUGUUUAAACCCCAAAAUUCUAAAUCUCCAAAUUUCGAAAUACCCAACUCAAGAAUCCUAAAUUCCCAUAUUUCGAUUUGAAACCUAGAAUUCGAGUUGCAAGAGGAGCAAUAUAUCAAUGAGUUCGACGGGAUCUACGGUCCUUGUGGAAGAGGCAGAGUCGUUGCGGUACAAAAGAGAUGUUGGUGCAGGGAAGAUAUUGUGGCACUAAUUCUGAAAUCCGAUCCCAAUCCUUGUCGGAGAUACUAUCGUUAUGGUUUUGCUGCAAAACAUAAGCUUAGGAACGAUGAACACACGUUCAAAUGGGUUGAUGAAGCCUUGUUCAAUGAGAUAGAGACAUUGAAAGAAAAGAAUGGUGAACUUGAGCAAGAGCUGAAAGAGCAUAAAACAAAGAGUUUGGAGUUUGAGAAGAUGGUUUGUGAGAAGGUCCAACUGAAGAUAGAGAAGGAGAUAUUUGAAAGGUGAAAGAUGCUUUGUCUAAAGCCAAAAAAAGCACUAAGAAGAUGAUGAUUGUCGUAGUGAUAGGGUGUAUGAUCAUGAUUGGAUUCAAUAAACUAAUCGGAUGAACCAUUGAUCACAUCACUGUUUUUGUUGUGUUUGUUGAAUGUCUUGGUUUUGGUUCUAGUUUUAGAUUUAUGAUUAAGAUAAUGGUUUUUUCAUUUUAGAUUUAUGAUCAAGACAUUAUGUACUAUUGAAUGGUGUUUGUUUUGGAUUAAGAGAAUGGUGUUUUCUUC